GACGAACGCUGGCGGCGUGCUUAACACAUGCAAGUCGAACGGAAAGGCCCCUUUGGGGGUACUCGAGUGGCGAACGGGUGAGUAACACGUGAGUAACCUGCCCUUGACUUCGGGAUAACUUCAGGAAACUGGGGCUAAUACCGGAUAGGAAUCCUUGCUGCAUGGUGGGGGUUCGAAAGCUUCGGCGGUUUUGGAUGGACUCGCGGCUUAUCAGCUUGUUGGUGGGGUAGUGGCUUACCAAGGCUUUGACGGGUAGCCGGCCUGAGAGGGCGACCGGCCACAUUGGGACUGAGAUACGGCCCAGACUCCUACGGGAGGCAGCAGUGGGGAAUAUUGCACAAUGGGCGGAAGCCUGAUGCAGCAACGCCGCGUGCGGGAUGACGGCCUUCGGGUUGUAAACCGCUUUCAGCAGGGGCGAAGCUUGUGGUGACGGUACCUGCAGAAGAAGCACCGGCUAACUACGUG
rnacentral:rRNA from 1 species